UCGAGCGGCAGCGCGGGGGCAACCCUGGCGGCGAGCGGCGAACGGGUGAGUAAUGCAUCGGAACGUGUCCUCUUGUGGGGGAUAACCAGUCGAAAGACUGGCUAAUACCGCAUGAGAUCGAGAGAUGAAAGCAGGGGACCGCAAGGCCUUGCGCGAGAGGAGCGGCCGAUGCCGGAUUAGCUAGUUGGUGGGGUAAAAGCCUACCAAGGCGACGAUCCGUAGCUGGUCUGAGAGGACGACCAGCCACACUGGGACUGAGACACGGCCCAGACUCCUACGGGAGGCAGCAGUGGGGAAUUUUGGACAAUGGGGGCAACCCUGAUCCAGCCAUGCCGCGUGUGUGAAGAAGGCCUUCGGGUUGUAAAGCACUUUCGGCCGGAACGAAAUCGCGCGAUCUAAUAAGUCGCGUGGAUGACGGUACCGGAAGAAGAAGCACCGGCUAACUACGUGCCAGCAGCCGCGGUAAUACGUAGGGUGCGAGCGUUAAUCGGAAUUACUGGGCGUAAAGUGUGCGCAGGUGGCCGCGCAUGUCGAGUGUGAAAUCCCCGGGCUUAACUUGGGAAUUGCGCUCGAAACUACGUGGCUAGAGUGUGGCAGAGGGAGGUGGAAUUCCACGUGUAGCGGUGAAAUGCGUAGAGAUGUGGAGGAACACCAAUGGCGAAGGCAGCCUCCUGGGCCAACACUGA
rnacentral:rRNA from 1 species